rnacentral:lncRNA from 1 species
CAUGUAUAAGCUUGAUCCCUUGCGUUCAUCGUAACUAUAAAAGGUAAAUUAAUUCUAACGAUAGUAAGAACACGUUUUCGAUGUGUUGCUCCCUCCCUAGCCUUUCUACCGACACCCCGUUACUCAAGCACUCCUUAAAGAGAAGCACCCGCAGAACUGACGAAUGGCGACGUUAACUAGAGAAGACCGAUCGAAAAUCGCUAGCGCUCAUUUCUCCGUCGAUCUAUUUUUUAGGAGCAACGUCUUAUACCUUGAUCGGUCACUCCACUCUAUCCUUCCUAUUAUCACCCCGUUACCCAAGCACCCCACGCAGGACGCGAGACACCCCAGAACCGACGAGUGAUAAAGGUUAGAUAGAGAUAAACAUCAGGGAUCGCAAAACGCUCAUCUCCCUAAUGGUUAUCGGAUAGCUCCAAUCAAAGACAGUGAGGAUCACCAGAAACCGUUCAUAAAUCGAUCGCAUAAAUAAACUCUCCCGGGUUGCGCAAAUAACACAAGCCACGCAUCACCAAGUAAGUAAUCACCGAUUUUAUUAUUAUUAUUUUUAUUAUUUUUAAACAAUCGCCGAUUCCACUAUCUCACUCACCGAUUGCACACCCUGUUGGGUUACCUCUCGCCGAUUCCACCUUUCUCGCACUCGCCGGUUCCAAAACAAUCGUCGACAAUCUUCUCACACUCGCCGAUUCCAAUUUGGGGUUCCCUUGCGAGAUCAACCAUAAUCGUACGUGACUGUGGAGAGAGUGGAUGGAUCGCUGGCUCAAAGCAGACUCACGAAUGGAACGGCAGUGCUCACGAAAAACGCAAGCUAAUCUGCAGCUCUAUUAGUGUCGAAGUCACGUCUGGAGCUCACAUAUGUCUCAGAUCUGGAAUUAAAUCCAAAUCGGAAGAGUGGGGAGGACGCGCAGCAGAUCUCGAAGGCGGAGAUCGCUCUCACAUAUCACGGUAGAUCAGAACUCAAGAACAGUCGCUGGCGGAGUCUCCAAAGUUCUCCAACUCUCCUGGCAGAACACAAGGUCUUCUCCCGACAGAUCUCGCAGACGGAGAGCUCGAGAACUCGCAGACGGAGAUCACCAAAGCUCCCGGCAGAACGCAGGGUCUUCUCCUAUAUAUAUCAUACCAAUUCAACAACUUAAUGUCCAUCUAUUCAAUAUCGUAACAACACUUGGCUUAAUGCUAAUCAAGAGUUUAAUUUCAACUCAAAAAUCACGCUAAUAAUGGAGGGUAAAUUGGCAAUAACAUGCUUCAAUUUUUAAAAA